CAGACACACUCUUUGUAGCUCUUGCCAAAGAGCUGCAUGCCGACCACGGCAAAGAUGAAGACGAUGAUGGCCAACACCAAGCACUUUUCGAACUCAGCUUGGACGUUUCUGAGGAGCUCUCUGAGAGGCCCAGGAUUUGGCUUCGUCUCAUACUUGUGUAUUCAGCCGCUGCCGCCGCCGCUGCUAUUGCCUGUGCACCCGAGACAUUGCGCUCCAUAACUCACCUGAAAAUUCUGGGAGACCCUCUGGCAGCUUUUAGAAGAAAACAAACCAGGUAAUACAUACCCUGAAUCUGUGCUGAAACCACAAAGGAGAGCAUCUUUGGAUCCCUCCAAGUAAUAAACAUAUUCUGUUUAGGAAGAAUUUGAACAAUGUAGCAUUACAAUGUCAACUGGAAGAGUGGCAUAUCAAGCAAUUUCUUAAGAAACAAUUCUGUUGUACCAACAUCAUUUCCAAUGCCUCCUGUUGUCUUUAUUAAGAUUUCAAUGGCUUCAGAAAACUGAGUUUCUUGAUUAAAAGAGGUUGCCCAUGAAGAGCUGCAGUCCUAUGAGUGCAAACACGCUCAGACAGAACACAGUCAGGAUCAUGACAUCUGACAGCUUCUUCACCGACUGGAUCAGCGCCCCCACAAUGGUCUUCAGGCCUGCAGAUGGAGAAAAGAGGUGUUCAUACGGGCACAAAGCCUCCAAAUGAGGUACAAAAGCAAAACACCGGCUUUCUUAGGGAUGCAUGCAUUAUGUCGGGUCAAUGACUGUAAGUAAUUUAACUCAGAAGAGCUUAGAGGUUGAAAGGGGUGGAUUUGCCAUUUUAUAUGCACAGUGUUUUCAUAUAUUAAAGCAAAUGAUUAAAAUUGUAAAAUAUUACCAGAAAUAUUUAAGUUCUCAAAUGAAGAAUUUGGUUGCUCGAACGAUAUUC